GACGAACGCUGGCGGCGCGCCUAACACAUGCAAGUCGAACGAGCGAGAGAGAGCUUGCUUUCUUGAGCGAGUGGCGAACGGGUGAGUAACGCGUGAGGAACCUGCCUCAAAGAGGGGGGCAACAGUUGGAAACGACUGCUAAUACCGCAUAAGCCCACGACCCGGCAUCGGGUUGAGGGAAAAGGAGCAAUCCGCUUUGAGAUGGCCUCGCGUCCGAUUAGCUAGUUGGUGAGGUAACGGCCCACCAAGGCGACGAUCGGUAGCCGGACUGAGAGGUUGAACGCAAAAGUAGGGAAGGGACAAGGGCAGGGACUACGGGGGGAGGAAGUGAGGGGGAAUGGAGCAAAGGGGGAGAAACCAGGAGGGGGGGGCGGGAGGUGGAGAAAGGAGGUGGUGGUAGUGAAAACUAGUGUUGAUGGAGAAGAUAAAGAAGGAAAAAAAAAAGGAAGAGAGGCAAAACGAAGUGCAAGAAACAGUAAAAAAAGACGAAGACAAAACGGAUAAAA
rnacentral:rRNA from 1 species